GACGAACGCUGGCGGCGUGCUUAAUACAUGCAAGUCAACGAUUUUUAAGAUAGCAAUAUUUUAAAAUAGUGGCGCACGGGUGAGUAACACGUAGAUAAUCUGCCUUUAGGUCUGACAUAACUCGUCGAAAGACGGGCUAAUAUCAGAUAAAACAAUAACCUGGCAUCAAGUAAUUGUCAAAGCUUCGGCGCCCAAAGAUGAGUCUGCGGACCAUUAGGUAGUUGGUGGAUUAACAGCCCACCAAGCCAACGAUGGAUAGCUGGUCUGAGAGGAUGAUCAGCCACACUGGAACUGAGACACGGUCCAGACUCCUACGGGAGGCAGCAGUAAGGAAUAAUUGCUCAAUGGGAGAAAUCCUGAAGCAGCAACGCCGCGUGAA
rnacentral:rRNA from 1 species